rnacentral:rRNA from 1 species
AGCGAACGUUAGCGGCGCGCGUAACACAUGCAAGUCGCACGCGAAAGGGGGCAACCCUGAGUAAAGUGGCGCACGGGUGCGUAACACGUAGAUAACCUGCCCUCUGAAGGGGGAUAACGUUCCGAAAGGAGCGCUAAUACCGCAUAACGCCGCGAGUACCAAGGUAUUUGCGGACAAAGGCUGGGACCGGCAACGGCCAGUCGUCAGAGGAGGGGUCUGCGGCCCAUCAGCUAGUUGGUGAGGUAACGGCUCACCAAGGCGAAGACGGGUAGCUGGUCUGAGAGGAUGAUCAGCCACACUGGUACUGGAACACGGACCAGACUCCUACGGGAGGCAGCAGUGGGGAAUCUUGGUCAAUGGGCGCAAGCCUGAACCAGCGACGCCGCGUGAGUGAUGAAGGCCUUCGGGUUGUAAAGCUCUGUGGGGAGGGACGAAAGACUACGGUCGAAUAGGCCAGUAGGUUGACGGUACCUCCUUAGCAAGCACCGGCUAACUCUGUG